UGAAUUCAGAAAAUUCAGUUCCUUCCACUCCCUGAUGGAAUUCACUGUGUGAUCAAAUUAAAUAAAUAAAUGAAAAGGAACACUGGAGGUGUAGAGGAGGUGAUUGCUAAAUAUCAGCUGAAACAGACUUCGCCAUAUAGCCAAGAAAAAACAUCACCCAAGGACAUGCCAAACCUGUCUACUGCAGAACAUAAUUACAGGUACAGCCAGGAUGAAGAGAAGACCAUCACGGUUGAACAAGACUGGAAGGGUGACUUAGAUAAUGAUUUCGCUUAUUUCUUGUUUAACUAAUGAGAGUGAUACGAAACAGAGAGAAGGAGAGAGCGGAAAAUGUGCUUAUGUCAAAGUGAAAUUAAUCAAAGUGAGAGACAACAACAGCCAUCUGUCAAACAUUGUUUUUUUUUUUUUACAGUAAUAAUGAUGAUGAGAAUUUUGGCUAAAAGACCGCAUGUGCAAUGGAUAAUAGGGAAUUUAUAUUGCUGACUUCAAAGACAGUGUUUCUGGGAGGGGGUAACAAGUAGGGGAACUACAAGGCUUGGUCCUGGACCUGGCCUUCGUUAACAUUUUUAUUAAUGACUUGGGAAAUGGAGUGCACCAUGUAUGACACAACAUUGGGUGGAAUAGCUAGUAUCCUAGAAGACAAAAACAACAGAAUGAAAUUUAACAGAGAAAAAUGCAACAUUCUACAACUAGGAGGAAAAACCCCCAAAGCAUAGUUACAAUACUGUAUAGGGAAUAAAGGUAAAGGUAAAGGUUCCCCUUGACA
rnacentral:lncRNA from 1 species